UUGGAGGGCAAGUCUGGUGCCAGCAGCCGCGGUAAUUCCAGCUCCAAUAGCGUAUAUUAAAGUUGUUGCAGUUAAGAAGCUCGUAGUUGAAUUUCGGGGUUCUACCGUUGGUCGGGCUAACCAGUCUGUACUAGCGUGUAAAAUUCCUACCUUCUGGAGAACCAUCAUGUUAUUAAUUUAGCGUGGUGGGAAACCAGGACCUUUACCUUGAAAAAAUUAGAGUGUUCAAAGCAGGCUUACGUCUGAAUACAUUAGCAUGGAAUAAUAGAAUAGGACGGUGGUCCUGUUUUGUUGGUUUCUGAAUCACCGUAAUGAUUAAUAGGGAUAGUUGGGGGCAUUAGUAUUCAAUUGUCAGAGGUGAAAUUCUUGGAUUUAUUGAAGACUAACUUCUGCGAAAGCAUUUGCCAAGGAUGUUUUCAUUAAUCAAGAACGAAAGUUAGGGGAUCGAAGACGAUCAGAUACCGUCGUAGUCUUAACCAUAAACUAUGCCGACUAGGGAUCGGACGAUGUUAAAUUUUAUUGACUCGUUCGGCGCCUUACGGGAAAC
rnacentral:rRNA from 1 species